UACAGAGGGUGCAAGCGUUGUUCGGAAUUAUUGGGCGUAAAGGGCGCGUAGGCGGUGCGGUAAGUCUUUUGUGAAAUCUCCGGGCUCAACUCGGAGUCUGCAGGAGAAACUGCCGUGCUUGAGUGUGGGAGAGGUGAGUGGAAUUCCCAGUGUAGAGGUGAAAUUCGUAGAUAUUGGGAAGAACACCGGUGGCGAAGGCGGCUCACUGGCCCGUAACUGACGCUCAUGCACGACAGCGUGGGGAUCAAACAGG
rnacentral:rRNA from 1 species